CUUCAACAUCGCCGUAGACGGCGAGAACUUGGGCCGUGUCUCCGUCAAGCUAUUUGCAGAUUUGCAGACAAGUUUCCAAAGACAACAGAAAACUUUGGUGCUCUGAGCACUGGAGAGAAAGAAUUUGGUUCUAAGGGUUCCUUCUUUCACAGAAUUAUUCCAGGGUUUAUGUAUCAGAGUGGUGACUUCACACGCCAUAAAGGCACUGGUGGCAAGUCCAUCUACCAGGAGAAAUUUGAUGACGAGAACUUCAUCCUAAAGCAUACAGGUCCUGGCAUCUUGUCCAUGGCAAAUGCUGGACCUGGCACAAACGUUUCCCAGUUUUUCAUCUGCACUGCCAAGACUGAGUGGUUGGAUGGCAAGCAUUUGGUCUUUG
rnacentral:lncRNA from 1 species